rnacentral:rRNA from 1 species
CCUACGGGAGGCAGCAGUGAGGAAUAUUGGUCAAUGGACGAGAGUCUGAACCAGCCAAGUAGCGUGAAGGAUGACUGCCCUAUGGGUUGUAAACUUCUUUUAUAAAGGAAUAAAACGAGGCAAGUGUGCCUUUUUGCAUGUACUUUAUGAAUAAGGAUCGGCUAACUCCGUGCCAGCAGCCGCGGUAAUACGGAGGAUCCGAGCGUUAUCCGGAUUUAGUGGGUUUAAAGGGAGCGUAGAUGGGUUUUUAAGUCAGUUGUGAAAGUUUGCGGCUCAACCGUAAAAUUGCAAUUGAUACUGGCAGUCUUGAGUACAGUUGAGGUAGGCGGAAUUCGUGGUGUAGCGGUGAAAUGCUUAGAUAUCACGAAGAACCCCGAUUGCGAAGGCAGCUUACUAAACUGUGACUGACAUUGAUGCUCGAAAGUGUGGGUAUCAAACAGGAUUAGAUACCCCUGUAGUC